CCCUCAUCUCUUACUCUUUCCAGUACUCUUCUUCCGUUACUUUUGAAAUUCAUUUCAAUUUUUCUUUCAUUCAAUGUCAUAGGCGUUACGUUCAGGGUUUUUUACCUAAUCUUCGAUAACUCUCGGUAGAAAGUGCAGAAGAUUUGGGUUUGCGUAGCUCUACCAGUUUCAAGGUACUUAGUGCAACCAAACAAGAAAUCAAUUUAAUAACCAAAAUCCCUUUCGGACGCCAGUCCAUUGCACAACUCCAUUAUCCCAGGUAUACCGUAUAGGCGAAUAACAAUGUUUGUUGUGGGAGUCAACAAGAAGGAAUUCAAAUCAUACAUUGAAACUGUGUCUAAUGCCAACUGCACCGCUAACUGCCUUCCUCCUUUUGCCGAAGUUAUCGAUGGAAAAUACAAAAUUAUUGAAGGACUUAGGAAUGCCACUCAUUCCAUCACUGCCACCCAGAUGGCUGUUGAUGGACCAUCCAGCAAGAACUACAAAGUGGAGAAGCUGCUUUAUAGUUCAUUCAACAUAAUUCCCAACAGCACAAAAGUUGCCAAGGAUGCGUGAUGGAAUGUUCAAGAGUGAAUGUCACUAUCUUGGUUGCAAUGUCUGUUGUACUAAAGGAGUGGAAGAGGAAUCUUAUAUUUGGUACAUCAAGUGUAGAGCUUGAGUUCCCAAAGUAGUACCCAGAACCUGAUUCCCCCAAGACCGCACCGAGAUUACUAUUAUAUUUGGUACCUUUGACCAUGAGGCUGAAACUAUUGUCGUCCGCCCAGCAGUGGACAUGGUUUUCCUGUCAGAGGUCCUGCGGUAAUUGUUGGAUGAAUCUAUGAUUUCUUAUCAGCACAGAGAUUUGUAAUAAAAUUGAAGAGAGGAUUUACUAAGAUUUUAAAUCUUUUGGAUGUGUUGUACCGGAAAUAAUCACCGUUUUUCAAUGUUUUUUUAAAAUUGUUUUGUGUUUCUCCUUGGAUUUUGGUUAUUAUAUGAAGUUUACAUCCA